AGUGAACGCUGGCGGUAGGCCUAACACAUGCAAGUCGAACGGCAGCACAGUGAGAGCUUGCUCUUACGGGUGGCGAGUGGCGGACGGGUGAGGAAUACAUCGGAAUCUACUUUUUCGUGGGGGAUAACGUAGGGAAACUUACGCUAAUACCGCAUACGACCUACGGGUGAAAGCAGGGGAUCUUCGGACCUUGCGCGAUUGAAUGAGCCGAUGUCGGAUUAGCUAGUUGGCGGGGUAAAGGCCCACCAAGGCGACGAUCCGUAGCUGGUCUGAGAGGAUGACCAGCCACACUGGAACUGAGACACGGUCCAGACUCCUACGGGAGGCAGCAGUGGGGAAUAUUGGACAAUGGGCGCAAGCCUGAUCCAGCCAUACCGCGUGGGUGAAGAAGGCCUUCGGGUUGUAAAGCCCUUUUGUUGGGAAAGAAAAGCAGCAGGUUAAUACCCCGCUGUUCUGACGGUACCCAAAGAAUAAGCACCGGCUAACUUCGUG
rnacentral:rRNA from 1 species